UCGUUUUUCCACAUCCUGUGAAGCCUCCGGUGCUGUUUACCUGUAGGCUGAAUGUGCCUUAGGCUGCUUCUAAAUUGAUUUUACCCGCUUUCAAUAUGUUCGCUUAUUCAUAUCAAACAGCUGUCUAUGGGCUGUGUGUGCUCAGCGCCCUGUGGCUGUCUAACCCUGUGUCGGGGGAGAAGGUGUUAGAGAGCCCCGGGAUGAUCCAGGAUCUGCGGGAGGCCCUAGCUGAGCUAGCCGGAGAGGGAAGGAGCUACCUGGGCAGGCUGGCCGGGGAGCAGACGCUGCUGUCGGUGCACAAGGCUUUCUCUCAGGUCCUGGGUGUUGUGGCAGGAAGUUUGUCCGGGGGUCUGAACGUUCUCCUACAGUAUGCGUCACACUUCCUGCAGGCUGCUGGAAUCCAAGCUGAGUUCCCCAUCAGCAGAGUGAGCCCAGAGGGGGUGAGCUUUGUUGCCCAGUGGGUGAUCGUGGCUCUCAUUGGCUACUCGCUGAUCUCUUUCGUCUUCCGAUUGGUUGCCUCCACUCUGAGGCGGGCUAUGUGGCUGCUGAAAGUGGGCGUGGCUCUGGUGUGUUUCGGGCUGAUCCUGAGGGACCACAGUGUGGGCACACACACCAUGGUGGUCCGGCUGGCUGUGCUGGUGUGUGUGUGUGUGCUGCUUGGGGUCGGCUCUCUGCAGAGAUCCACGGCAGUCGAUAAGACCGCUCACCUGGAGGAGCAGGUGAAGACCCUGGAGAGACGGCUGAGAGAGAUGGAGAGGUGGAGGAGGACGGAGGAGUGAAAAGGGGACGGGCAGAAGUCCAAUGCCACAUGUACAGACUGGUGUCUUCUGGACAUUCAGGGCAGACAUUUUUGAUAUGAUUUGUUACUGACACGAUUUGAUUACUUAAUCAUUCCAGGGAGUGGACAUUUCUUAGUCUAGUUUUUUUGUUUACUGUUUCUCCAAACAGUGUGCCACAGCCUUUAUGUUCAAUGUUACCAUGUUUCAUCCCAAUUCAGGAGUGAGAGGAGAAGACGGAUACUCUUCACAUGUGCCUGGAAAUGAUAUCAACGUUUUUAUCCCACUCUUGGAAAGAAAGCUAAUGAAUCGGUCCUGAGACACGGCGACAGAGUGGGACAGACUGAUUGACAACCUGAAAACAUGAAUGGGGGCAGAAUAACUGUCCUGAGAGGACGUGCUGCUCAAUUCAGAGGACUUUUACUUGUAACAGAGUCUCUCCCAGCUCUGUCUAAACAUCAUUCUGUUGCCGUCUUUCUUUCUUACCCCAGUUGUAGGUGAUCAAUGUUUUUUUUGCUCAUGCAUGUGUUUAUACGAGCUGCCUGAAUGAAGCCAGUCAGAGCGAGCACACUGUUCAGUUCCACUCAGUAUUCAGUACACAGUACACUGAAUCUACGCAGCCUAUCCACUGCCAGCGAGUUUACCUCAAACAGCUCGGCCCUUUUGCACUGUUUAACAAUUUUGAACAACCUGAAAGUGAAUGACAUAGUCCUCAUAGGGAACCAGAAAUAACUGGUUCUACAUCAAGUGGUUGAAACCACAGGAAGUUCUGCUGUUAGUUUGGGAAAACUAUGACAUGGGACAUGAAUGUUGUAUCUAAGUAGUAUUUGGCUCCAUGUACAAACUGUAGUGGAGUACUUUGACUGUUGUAGGUUUCUGUGUUGUCUGAAUGUACUAGCUGUGGAAAUGUAAGGAUCCAUUCUAAAAAGUUGUGUGUUCUUUUUAGUUUUCAGAGUUAAAGCCAAUGCCAGGAAAAAUAAAACCAUGCACCCUGCUUAAACUGACACAUUUUUUCCCCACAUCCAUUCUUAUCCUCCCAUCCAUCAUCAAUAUCUAAUACUCUUCAUCUCAUCAAACGUCUAAGGAUCACUGUGGCAUGGUCCUUGCUACUGAGGUGGCACAACCACUUGUUCUGUCGAGUGUAAAAAGAGUUAAACAGAGGUUCAAACCUAGACUACCUACCCCACCUAAACCAGCUACCUGCAGCAGGCAAAUCACUGUGUAAUGGGAUGAUGUCAAAGCUGUUAUCUGAUGAAGUCUGGGGUGGCUGUGGCUAAGUGGAUAGAGUGCUGGACUUUGAAUCAGGGGGUAGCAAGUUCGAGUCCCACUGCAGUCAGCAUGUCG